rnacentral:rRNA from 1 species
GCCUAUACAUGCAGUCGAACGAACUCUGGUAUUGAUUGGUGCUUGCAUCAUGAUUUACAUUUGAGUGAGUGGCGAACUGGUGAGUAACACGUGGGAAACCUGCCCAGAAGCGGGGGAUAACACCUGGAAACAGAUGCUAAUACCGCAUAACAACUUGGACCGCAUGGUCCGAGCUUGAAAGAUGGCUUCGGCUAUCACUUUUGGAUGGUCCCGCGGCGUAUUAGCUAGAUGGUGGGGUAACGGCUCACCAUGGCAAUGAUACGUAGCCGACCUGAGAGGGUAAUCGGCCACAUUGGGACUGAGACACGGCCCAAACUCCUACGGGAGGCAGCAGUAGGGAAUCUUCCACAAUGGACGAAAGUCUGAUGGAGCAACGCCGCGUGAGUGAAGAAGGGUUUCGGCUCGUAAAACUCUGUUGUUAAAGAAGAACAUAUCUGAGAGUAACUGUUCAGGUAUUGACGGUAUUUAACCAGAAAGCCACGGCUAACUACGUGCCAGCAGCCGCGGUAAUACGUAGGUGGCAAGCGUUGUCCGGAUUUAUUGGGCGUAAAGCGAGCGCAGGCGGUUUUUUAAGUCUGAUGUGAAAGCCUUCGGCUCAACCGAAGAAGUGCAUCGGAAACUGGGAAACUUGAGUGCAGAAGAGGACAGUGGAACUCCAUGUGUAGCGGUGAAAUGCGUAGAUAUAUGGAAGAACACCAGUGGCGAAGGCGGCUGUCUGGUCUGUAACUGACGCUGAGGCUCGAAAGUAUGGGUAGCAAACAGGAUUAGAUACCCUGGUAGUCCAUACCGUAAACGAUGAAUGCUAAGUGUUGGAGGGUUUCCGCCCUUCAGUGCUGCAGCUAACGCAUUAAGCAUUCCGCCUGGGGGAGUACGGCCGCAAGGCUGAACUCAAGGAAUUGACGGGGGCCCGCACAGCGGUGGAGCAUGUGGUUUAA